AUUUUCUCGCUGAACCUUAUUAUGGCAAAGCAUUUGAUUUUUCAUCUUUGUGCUCUGUUCAUCCCCACAAAUAAACUACUUUGACCUCCACCUGUUACUUAGUGAAAUCUGCCUGCCAUCCUUCAAUAACCCCAUUCUUUGCCUUCAAAGGCUUUUGAGUCACUGAGAAAGUGGGAAGAUAGAGUUGUGCAGUGAACUGAGCAAAUACCACUUUAUAACUAUGCAGCAGUUCAGAGUCGAAGCUGGAAGCUACAUGAUGAAAGGAAAUGGAUUUUUCUUUUUAAAGGCAAUGCCCAUGGAUAUUGGAAGGGGGCAACACAUUUCAUCAUUUUCACAUGAAAUUUUUCAUAGAAAGGGGUUGUCUCUUGAGCUGUUAUUUAAUGCAGAAAACCCCUGGCCCUUUCCUUAUAAGAAAGCCUCUCUAAAAUAGUCAUGACAUUAUUUCAGAUAUAUGAACCAACAGGUCCUUGCAAAGUGUACAAAUACUUCAAGUAGUACACUAUUCUGAUAUUUGGCAAAACAAAAUGAACCACUAACUUCAAAUGCAGCUUUUUGGGGGUCAUGCAAAAGGACCACACUUACCGAACACUAUGAAAACAAAAAAUAAUAAAUAAAAAGGGAAAUAACUGUACACAAUGGCAUGGGUCAUUUUUUGAAACACAAUAUCUGACAAAAUGUUUUUUUUAACAAUGACAUAUCAGAAAAAAUUCCUGUGUAAAGCUGCACUUUCCUGAUUAAUGCUACACUGAACAGAAGAGACAGUGUCUAAUUGUGCUGAAUACUUAUCUGAGUGGGAGUACAGGAUGUUUCUGCUCACUGUCGUUCUCUGUGACAACGUAAUGAUAGAUCCGUUUCCUUAUGAGUGCAAUUAUUAAAACCUGCACUGUUUUCUUAAGUGUCUCCAUAUCUUGGAUAAAUUAUAUAAAAAUUACUUAUCUGACACUAAGGGUAAAUGCUUAGUGAAGUUUUCAUAUCAAUUAAGUAAAUGAAUUCCAUUCAGUCACAGCCUUUGUGGAGGGUCUUAUUCAAGUUUGGUGAAACUGAAUUUCCACAAUCCUUUUAUAUUAGAGUUAAUGAUUCACCCUCUUUUCCCCUGUCUUCUUUGUACAAAUGCUAAAGUUUGGUGUUCGCUUCAACUAAAAAACUGCUCACAGCCGACAUUUUCUCUGGAGUCAUGAUUUAGCACUUCUCCUUCAUAUUCACACCUUUUUUUUGGAACCCAACACAGGAUCCAAUUUUAUACAGACAACACCCCACAGGCCAAUCAGAAUUGGUCGCUAGCAAUAACCAUCUUUUGCAGCAUUUUCUACUCAUAUAAUUAACUUUACCCAGAACCUAUUAGGGAAAGAUCUUCAUACAAGAUAAAAACAACAACAAUAGCACACCACUUUGGGCUCUACAUGAUAGCCUGCCAAUUCAAAGGAUUAUUUUCAUGCAUGCCUAAAGAGACAAAACAAGGUUCUUCUCUUUUUUCCCUUCCAUUUACUGACCUCAAAAUGACAACUGUCACCAACCCUGUCCUUAAAUGUGAAAACAGCCAAAUAUGGGUAUUGAAUGUAAGUUACUAAAUGCUCCCUCAAACAGAAUUUAUUUCUCUGGCUUUAGUCAAGACAACUAUCAAGCAGUCCAAGUAGCAGAUAAUGACAUUUAUAAUAAAUUACAUCUCUGUAAAAGUCUCCCAAUGUGUGGCUAGGACAUAAAUUUAUGUGACCCGAAAUGAUGCUUAUGUGCCAUAAAGACUUUUUUUAAAACUAAAGGCAUGUCAAGACUUCAAUGCUGAUGGACAAACUCACAAAAAUAUCAAGCACAUCAAAAGGGGAACAUUUUUGAGUCUUUUGAGGAUAAGAUUGCUUUU